rnacentral:rRNA from 1 species
GUGGGGAAUAUUGGACAAUGGGGGGAACCCUGAUCCAGCCAUGCCGCGUGUGUGAAGAAGGCCUUUUGGUUGUAAAGCACUUUAAGCGAGGAGGAGGCUACCGAGAUUAAUACUCUUGGAUAGUGGACGUUACUCGCAGAAUAAGCACCGGCUAACUCUGUGCCAGCAGCCGCGGUAAUACAGAGGGUGCAAGCGUUAAUCGGAUUUACUGGGAGUAAAGCGCGCGUAGGUGGCCAAUUAAGUCAAAUGUGAAAUCCCCGAGCUUAACUUGGGAAUUGCAUUCGAUACUGGUUGGCUAGAGUAUGGGAGAGGAUGGUAGAAUUCCAGGUGUAGCGGUGAAAUGCGUAGAGAUCUGGAGGAAUACCGAUGGCGAAGGCAGCCAUCUGGCCUAAUACUGACACUGAGGUGCGAAAGCAUGGGGAGCAAACAGGAUUAGAUACCCGAGUAGUCC